AGGAGAACAUGUGUGCACGAUGGCCUUUCCAUGACAGGUCGGGUCAGAACACCAGGGAGGAGCUGCAGGGACCUGUGUUUGCAGGCAGGUGGGAGAUGGAGACAAUGAAGAAGAUGCCAGAGGCCCAAUGUGCAGGGACUCUCCUCACCUGUUUGAGGAACACAGAGAGAAAGACACUAGGGAAGCAUGAAUACAUGGCCAACUGGCUUCCAGGAAGUUUCCACCAUGGCAGGGCAGAUAAGAGGAGAAGCCAGGACAUUUCUCCCUCUGCCUUAGGAGUUUCUCCUAUUUGGCUGAAUCCUCUCUAGGGUUCUAGCUCCCACUGUUUCAAGGUCUAAGGCUCUGCUGGCCCACUUCUUCCCGUUGUCUCUUCAGCCUCGGGGGUGGAAGCAGCUUUCUGUUGACAUGGACAUCUGCGUUGUCCCAGCUUUUGAGUUUCUCUUUCAGUUCUCCCAUUAACUGUACAACCAAUUCCCUGUAUUAAAUUCCUUCCAUUAGAAAUAGCUGGAAUGGCAUUUGUUUCUCCUUACUGGAUACUGGCGGAUGGAGAGCUGAAAAGAGUUUAAGACGAGGCCUUGUGGAAGGCCACACCACAAGUACUGGAGUAUUUGGGGUUCAGCUGCCUUCAAAACUUAAAGCCCUCCCUUUAGAACAUGGUGUUCCUUGGAUACGGGCUGAAUUUUCCUCAGUGAAUCCUUUGGAGUAUUCCUUCUUACCUCCUCUGAAGUCAUUGUUUCUUUGAUACUUGUGCUGAAGCUGAACAGGCUUGUUGAAAGGAACAAAGCCCUUUGAACAAAGGAGCAGGGUGAGGACGAAUGAGCCCUGAUUAAC